CUACGGGAUGCACCAGUGGGGAAUAUUGGACAAUGGGGGAAACCCUGAUCCAGCAAUGCCGCGUGUGUGAAGAAGGCCUGCGGGUUGUAAAGCACUUUCGGUUGGGAGGACUGCUUCUAGCACUAAUAUUGUUGGAAGUUGACGUUACCUUCAGAAGAAGCACCGGAUAACUCCGUGCCAGCAGCCGCGGGAAUACGGAGGGUGCAAGCGUUAAUCGGAAUUACUGGGCGUAAAGCGCGCGUAGGCGGCUAGAUCAGUCGGGUGUGAAAGCCCCGGGCUUAACCUGGGAACUGCAUCCGAUACUGUCUAGCUUGAGUACAGGAGAGGAGAGUGGAAUUCCACAUGUAGCGGUGAAAUGCGUAGAUAUGUGGAGGAACACCAAUGGCGAAGGCAGCUCUCUGGCCUGAUACUGACGCUGAGGUGCGAAAGCGUGGGGAGCAAACAGGAUUAGAUACCCCUGUAGUC
rnacentral:rRNA from 1 species